AACGCACAUUGCGCCCGCCAGUAUUCUGGCGGGCAUGCCUGUUCGAGCGUCAUUUCAACCCUCAAGCACUGCUUGGUGUUGGGGACCGGCGAGGUCGUCUCUCUCGACGCGCCGCCCCCGAAAUGACUUGGCGGCCCCGUCGCGGCCCUUCCUCUUGCGUAGUAGCACACACCUCGCAUCGGGAGCCCGACGGCGGCCACUGCCGUAAAACACCCAACUUUCUCAGAAGUUGACCUCGGAUCAGGUAGGAAUACCCGCUGAACUUAA
rnacentral:misc_RNA from 2 species